CGGCGAGUGAAGCGGCAACAGCUCAAAUUUGAAAUCUGGCCCUUGGGUCCGAGUUGUAAUUUGUAGAGGAUGCUUUUGGUGCGGUGCCUUCCGAGUUCCCUGGAACGGGACGCCAUAGAGGGUGAGAGCCCCGUCUGGUUGGACACCUAACCUCUGUAAAGCUCCUUCGACGAGUCGAGUAGUUUGGGAAUGCUGCUCUAAAUGGGAGGUAUAUGUCUUCUAAAGCUAAAUACCGGCCAGAGACCGAUAGCGCACAAGUAGAGUGAUCGAAAGAUGAAAAGCACUUUGAAAAGAGGGUUAAAUAGUACGUGAAAUUGUUGAAAGGGAAGCGCUUGUGACCAGACUUGAGCCCGGUUAAUCAUCCAGCCUUCUGGCUGGUGCACUUGGCCGGCUCAGGCCAGCAUCAGUUCGGCGCGGGGGAUAAAGGCUUCGGGAAUGUGGCUCCUCCGGGAGUGUUAUAGCCCGUUGUGUAAUACCCUGUACUGGACUGAGGUUCGCGCAUCUGCAAGGAUGCUGGCGUAAUGGUCAUCAGCGACCCGUCUUGAAACACGGACCAAGGAGUCGUCUUCGUAUGCGAGUGUUCGGGUGUCAAACCCCUACGCGUAAUGAAAGUGAACGCAGGUGAGAGCUUCGGCGCAUCAUCGACCGAUCCUGAUGUUCUCGGAUGGAUUUGAGUAAGAGCAUACGGAGCCGGACCCGAAAGAAGGUGAACUAUGCCUGUAUAGGGUGAAGCCAGAGGAAACUCUGGUGGAGGCUCGCAGCGGUUCUGACGUGCAAAUCGAUCGUCAAAUAU
rnacentral:rRNA from 1 species